rnacentral:rRNA from 1 species
CGGAGGAAAAGAAACUAACAAGGAUUCCCCUAGUAACUGCGAGUGAAGCGGGAAAAGCUCAAAUUUAAAAUCUGGCGGUCUCCGGCUGUCCGAGUUGUAAUCUAGAGAAGUGUUAUCCGCGCUGGACCGUGUACAAGUCUCCUGGAAUGGAGCGUCAUAGAGGGUGAGAAUCCCGUCUUUGACACGGACUGCCAGGGCUUUGUGAUGCGCUCUCAAAGAGUCGAGUUGUUUGGGAAUGCAGCUCAAAAUGGGUGGUAAAUUCCAUCUAAAGCUAAAUAUUGGCGAGAGACCGAUAGCGAACAAGUACCGUGAGGGAAAGAUGAAAAGAACUUUGGAAAGAGAGUUAAACAGUACGUGAAAUUGCUGAAAGGGAAACGCUUGAAGUCAGUCGCGUUGGCCGGGGAUCAACCUUGCUUUUGCUGGGCGUACUUUCCGGUUGACGGGUCAGCAUCAAUUUUGACCGUUGGAUAAAGUCUAGGGGAAUGUGACAUCUUCGGAUGUGUUAUAGCCUUUGGUCGCAUACAACGGUUGGGAUUGAGGAACUCAGCACGCCGCAAGGCCGGGUACUUGUACCACGUUCGUGCUUAGGAUGCUGGCAUAAUGGCUUUAAUCGACCCGUCUUGAAACACGGACCAAGGAGUCUAACAUGCCUGCGAGUGUUUGGGUGGAAAACCCGGACGCGUAAUGAAAGUGAAAGUUGAGAUCCCUGUCGUAGGGAGCAUCGACGCCCGGACCAGACCUUUUGUGACGGAUCCGCGGUAGAGCAUGUAUGUUGGGACCCGAAAGAUGGUGAACUAUGCCUGAAUAGGGUGAAGCCAGAGGAAACUCUGGUGGAGGCUCGUAGCGAUUCUGACGUGCAAAUCGAUCGUCAAAUUUGGGUAUAGGGGCGAAAGACUAAUCGAACCAUCUAGUAGCUGGUUCCUGCCGAGUUU